rnacentral:rRNA from 1 species
AUUGAACGCUGGCGGCAGGCCUAACACAUGCAAGUCGAACGAGUGGCGGACGGGUGAGUCAUGUCUGGGAAACUGCCUGAUGGAGGGGGAUAACUACUGGAAACGGUAGCUAAUACCGCAUACCAUCAGAUGUGCCCAGAUGGGAUGAGCUUGUUGGUGGGGUAACGGCUCACCAGGGCGACGAUCCCUAGCUGGUCUGAGAGGAUGACCAGCCAGACUGGAACUGAGACACGGUCCAGACUCCUAGGGGAGGAAGCAGGGGGGAAUAUUGCACAAUGGGCGCAAGCCGGAUGCAGCAAUGCCGCGUGUAUGAAGAAGGCCUUCGGGUUGUAAAGUACUUUCAGCGGGGAGGCGUUAUCCGCAGAAGAAGCACCGGCUAAUUCCGUGCCAGCAGCCGCGGUAAUAC